GACGAACGCUGGCGGCGUGCCUAAUACAUGCAAGUAGAACGCACAGUUUAUACCGUAGCUUGCUACACCAUAGACUGUGAGUUGCGAACGGGUGAGUAACGCGUAGGUAACCUGCCUGGUAGCGGGGAUAACUAUUGGAAACGAUAGCUAAUACCGCAUAAUAUUGAUUAUUGCAUGAUAAUUAAUUGAAAGGUGCAAUUGCACCACUACCAGAUGGACCUGCGUUGUAUUAGCUAGUAGGUGAGGUAACGGCUCACCUAGGCGACGAUACAUAGCCGACCUGAGAGGGUGAUCGGCCACACUGGGACUGAGACACGGCCCAGACUCCUACGGGAGGCAGCAGUAGGGAAUCUUCGGCAAUGGACGAAAGUCUGACCGAGCAACGCCGCGUGAGUGAAGAAGGUUUUCGGAUCGUAAAGCUCUGUUGUAAGAGAAGAACGGGUGUGAGAGUGGAAAGUUCACACUGUGACGGUAUCUUACCAGAAAGGGACGGCUAACUACGUG
rnacentral:rRNA from 1 species